UAUAUUUUUUAUAAAAUAAAUUUUUAGUUAGUCCCUUCAUACAAGUUACCAAUCUCAAGUAGCUAAUGAUUUCGCUACCUUAGA
rnacentral:rRNA from 1 species